GAUGAACGCUAGCGGCGUGCCUAAUACAUGCAAGUCGAGCGAACCACUUCGGUGGUGAGCGGCGAACGGGUGAGUAACACGUAGGUUAUCUGCCCAUCAGACGGGGACAACGAUUGGAAACGAUCGCUAAUACCGGAUAGGACGAAAGUUUAAAGGUGCUUCGUCACCCCUGAUGGAUGAGCCUGCGGCGCAUUAGCUAGUUGGUAGGGUAAAGGCCUACCAAGGCGACGAUGCGUAGCCGACCUGAGAGGGUGAACGGCCACACUGGGACUGAGACACGGCCCAGACUCCUACGGGAGGCAGCAGUAGGGAAUCUUCGGCAAUGGGCGAAAGCCUGACCGAGCAACGCCGCGUGAAUGAUGAAGGCCUUCGGGUUGUAAAAUUCUGUUAUAAGGGAAGAAUGGCUUUAGUAGGAAAUGGCUAGAGUGUGACGGUACCUUAUGAGAAAGCCACGGCUAACUACGUGCCAGCCGCCGCGGUAA
rnacentral:rRNA from 1 species